ensembl:processed_transcript Snhg17 small nucleolar RNA host gene 17
AAGACCACAGUUUCCUGUCGCGUGGAUGUGUUUCCUCUCUGGCCAUUGCCAUCCGCCCAAAUCUACAGACAUCCCGCAUGUUCCCGGGCUCGUCUCCCCAAUACAGGGCACCAAGGCUGUAGACUGCGCAGCCCUCCUGGAGACAGAUGGAAGCUCCUUGGGUCGACAGAUUACAGCUUCUGGAACCCCCUACUCCCUUCAACUCCGAGAUGGACACCCACUGUCCAGGGAGAGGAUGCCUGGAAAUAACAGCUGGGAUCUACAGUGGCCAAAGAGUUGUCUCCGUCUUGCUACAUCGACAAACUGGUGCUCCUGACCACUUCGGAAGCGUUUUCCUCUCCACUCUGACAACAGGCAAGAGUGAGGGUCCAACAAUACAGAGGAAGUAACGUGUCGCUGCUACUCUUCCAUGCCCAGUGCCAGGAGCGACGGUACACUCCAGAGUGCUGUGCCCUGAUGGGCCUUUGAGUGGCCAGUGCAGUGGAUCAUCAGCCCUGUCUCCCAAGAGCUCCAGUCCCUUCUCCGGAGAGGAAGUGGGUCCACUGGCAGCUCAGGAGGCCAUAGCAGCCUUACAGAAGUGUGGGUGGCGCUUUCUGGAAGCUGCACAAGUCAGUGCUGGGUCUUCGCAGCUUGGUGUUCUGUUUCCAGAAACUUGGGGUGUUUGCAUGUGCUAGGUCAGCACAGAUUUCCAAAGGAUCCCUAGGAUUGUCACGUGUGCUCAACAGUCCUCCUCGGCUUUCCAGAAGAGGCUGGAACAGGGCCCUUGAAGAUGUUUGUGGACAUCAGAGGGCCAAAGACGACACAAAGUGAAACUGGAGACACCGCCCCCCUUGGCAUCAUGAAACUGCCGAUGUUACUGGCUCAUGCAUGGGAGACACCAGCAUACAAAGUCUUGACACCAACACCUCAGAGGGCUGUGUUCUGUCCCCGUGACCAUCAUCUAGUGCCUGGAAAGACUAGUGACAAGAACUUGUUGCCAACUUCCUAUUACCUCCCUAACAGUUGUGCAAUAAACCCCAUAGGUUAAUUCAGUCUGCCUUUUAAA